UACGUAGGGUCCAAGCGUUAAUCGGAAUUACUGGGCGUAAAGCGUGCGUAGGCGGUUUCGCAAGUCCGAUGUGAAAUCCCCGGGCUUAACCUGGGAACUGCGUUGGAAACUACGAGACUAGAGUGCGGCAGAGGGGGGUGGAAUUCCAGGUGUAGCAGUGAAAUGCGUAGAGAUCUGGAGGAACACCGAUGGCGAAGGCAGCCCCCUGGGUCAAGAUUGACGCUCAUGCACGAAAGCGUGGGGAGCAAACAGG
rnacentral:rRNA from 1 species